CAGAGUUGACAAACUCCCAAACCCCUUGUGAACAUACCUACUUGUAUUCGGCCGGCGGCCGGGAUCAUGCCCGGCGCCCCGGUAAACGGGACGGCCCGCCAGGAGGUAACCCUAAACUCUGUUUCAUAUAUGUACUUCUGAGUAAACCAUAAUAAAGUCA
rnacentral:misc_RNA from 1 species